AUCUUCCACAAUGGACGAAAGUCUGAUGGAGCAACGCCGCGUGAGUGAAGAAGGAUUUCGGUUCGUAAAACUCUGUUGCAAGGGAAGAACAAGUAGCGUAGUAACUGGCGCUACCUUGACGGUACCUUGUUAGAAAGCCACGGCUAACUACGUGCCAGCAGCCGCGGUAAUACGUAGGUGGCAAGCGUUGUCCGGAAUUAUUGGGCGUAAAGCGCGCGCAGGUGGUUCUUUAAGUCUGAUGUGAAAGCCCCCGGCUCAACCGGGGAGGGUCAUUGGAAACUGGGGAACUUGAGUGCAGAAGAGGAUAGUGGAAUUCCAAGUGUAGCGGUGAAAUGCGUAGAGAUUUGGAGGAACACCAGUGGCGAAGGCGACUGUCUGGUCUGUAACUGACACUGAGGCGCGAAAGCGUGGGGAGCAAACAGGAUUA
rnacentral:rRNA from 1 species